UCAUCAUCCGCCUCUCCCAGCGCGGGCAAGGGCGAGAAGAGUGGAGGGCUCCCCGCCCGGCCCGGACCCCUGGGCGGCGCUGCACAGGGGCGAAGGCCCCAAACGCAUCCCCGGCCUUUCCUGGCCCACGACGACCCCGCCGCCCACCCUCCCUACCUGGCCUUGAGGCUGGGGCUGCUGCCGCUGCUGCAGCUGCUGCUGGCGGCGGCGGUGGCCGCCGCGGCUCGGGGUUCGAGAACUAUAAGCCCCGUCUUUGCCAGGGCAGCCCUGAUUUCAGUCCCUCAAGUCAGCAUCAGAAAUUAAAACAUCAGAAAUGCAGGAAAUAGCUAUGGAGUCAGAAGAGCCUGCUUCUUUGGAAGCCACAGCCUCACUCAGGUGUCACUGAAAGACGGUGAUGAGGCACAUUCCUCC